CCAGUCUAGGAAAAAAUUUCAUGAGAUCCCAUCUCAAAAGAUAAAGUUGGGUACAGUGGCCUGAGCUUGUCAUUCAGCUCUAGUGGGAAAUAUACAUUGAAAGAUCGUGGUCCAGGCCAACUAGAAUAAAGAGUGAGAUCUUCAUCUAAAAAAUACCCAGAGCAGGGCUGGGGAUAUGACCUAGUGGCAAGAAUGCUUGCCUCGUAUAC